rnacentral:tRNA from 1 species
GGGGGUAUAAUUUAGUGGUAGAAUGUGUGGUUGGUAUGUUCAAUGCCCUGAGUUUAAUCCCCAGCACCCCCC